UUUUUUUUUUUUUUUUUAUUCGUUUAUUUUAGAGAGAGGAAGGGGAAGGGCAGGGGGAAAGGGACAGAGAAUCUCAAACAGACUCUCUACUGAGAGUGGAGGCCCAAGCUGAAAUGGAGAGCAGAACGCCCCAACUGACAAAGCCACCAGGGACCCCCGACAACCUUCUUUAUACAAUGUAUCAGCUGUAUUUUCCACUGGGUCUAUCUUUUUGGACAUAGGACUAUGAUUUGGGUCACUAUUUUGGUUAAGAAGUUCCUUAAGUUUCCUUCAGCCAUAGUUUGCAUUCCAUUUUCUUGAUAAGGACUGUUAACAGUUCUUUACUGCUUUUAAUUCUUCUGUAGUGUAAGAUCUUUAAAAUUGAGGUUGGAUGAGUAAAGGCAUUUUGGAGACUAUUAUAAAACUGACAAAAGGCAAUAUGAAAUGCCAGCCUAAAGAAAUAGAGCUAAAGAUUCAACUUUUAUGAGAUCAAAAUUUUGCGCUACACCUUAAAUUGUGCUGAUAGGAAACAUUCAAUCUGAUGCCAGAAUUUCUUUCUUAAAAAAACAAGAACUGUGCUGGUAUAAUAAAUAGAAUAAAUGCAAACAUUUUAUACACACAGAGAAUCCACUAAUUUAAAAUAAUCUUUUAUUAAGACACAAGUGGAAGUGUAGCUUUAUAUAUUUGCUGCUGGUAGAGGAGUGUUCAGAUAUUUAGAAUGCCUUGGCAAUACAUGAAUGUAUGUAUAUGACUGUGUGUAUGUAUAUGAAAAGUUAUACAUUACGUUUUUGUGCUGAUUGUCAUUUUCAAUUACAGAGCAAGGUGGUAUAAAAGAAAAAGGACAAACCCACGAAGGAAGAACUUGGGAUUUAGUUUCUGCUCUAAGCCUACUUAAUGUAUGACGUUAGACAAUUGUUUGUCACUGACCUUCAGGAUAGCAGUACUUUUUCUACCAAAAACACACAGUUCUUGUAAGGAUUCAUAAUAUAGGUAUUGUAUAUAUUAUAUUUACGUAAAGCAAUAUACGUAGACAUGCUUUUUAAAGUAUGGUUUUUCAAGUAAGAGGUCACAAAAAUGUAUUACUGAUAAUUAAGUACUAAAGGUUGCAAAAUCAUUUUAUUUAUUCUUAAUGUAAGAAGCAUUCAAUAAACCGUAUAGUAUAAGUCAUAUUCUCUUUCUCACUGUCCUUCAACUAAGUGCAUUCUGACAUGCUUUUUUGAGUAAGGAAUGUGUUGUACAUGUGACUGCCAUCCAUCACACAGUCAUGUUGGAUAAGAGACUGUCAACUGCUAUUGAAGUAUAAUUAGCUAGGGGAAAAAGAUGGUAUUAUCAUUGUCCCUAUUAUUAAAAUAGCCCAGGGUAGAGGUCUCCUCUUAAUGCUAUAAUUUAUACAAUUCAUGCAAUAUAAUUCAUACAUUCAGUGAAAUGUAAAUACAAAGGAUUGCCUUGCCUGUUUUUUUUACUUUGGGUGUGUGUGGAGCAUGGGAUAAAGAAGCACCUGGGAUAUAAAGUACUGACUGUAUAGUGAGAGACAGCAUAAACACUCUGGUUAUCAAUAUAGAAUGUAAUAUUUAGCCAUCUAAUAACUAAAAUUACAUUUCUCUACUCAAAACCUUUAGUAAUUUUCCCUUUCUAAGGUACCUACGUCUUGACCUACAAUUCUCAAUACCCAGGUUGGGUACUUAACAAAUCCCUUGAACAGAUUUUUAUUUUAGUUACUGCUUCCUCUUUGGAUGGCUAAAAACGGAAGAAAGCAUGUACUUGUAAUGCCAACACAUUUUUCGUUUCCUUUUAAGCCAGUCAUGUAGCUUGCUAAAUUUCUUUUUACUUUCACUUUCAGCAUAGCAAAAAACUGGUCAUAGUCAAUCUUUAAAAAAUAUUUGGAAACAUUUUAAAAAGAUUUCACAGCAUGAUUCAUUCUUUCAAUAUUUACUGGCCUAUUAAGUGGCAGCUACUUGCUACCUACACAGUCCCAGACCUUAAGCAAGCCUGAUACAAGAGAUAGAAAAAUUAAUAAGGCAUCUGCAGUAAAAUAUGAUAAAUGUUGAAAGGAGCUAAGCAUAGGGGGCUAUUGAGCUAUGCUGGAGGCAUCUUGGAGGUUAAAGAAUGUCUUCCAAGAUGACACCAAAGUGGGGUCCUGAAGUCUGAAACGGGAAAGUGAAAAUUCAGAAAGGGUAUUUCAAGCAAAGCGAACAGCGUAAGAAUUUACAUCCUACAUUACAUGUCUGUCACGAUCACAUUUACCUUUUAGAAAGCUGAUUAUAAUUGCAAUAUAGGGAAUGGACUUGAAUAAAGCAGAAACAAUGUAUUAACCAACUAUUCCAUUUUCAUAAUAUAUGCAAAUUCACAAUAUAGCUUACAAGAACUUACAUAAGAUGAAAUAAACACAACAUUUAAGAUAGAAAUAUAAUGUUCAUUAAGCCAUGUUUGGUAAUAGUAAAAAAAUUAAAAAUAAAAAAAAUUCUCCCCAAACCAUUAAACACAACAAAAAACCCUAAUAUAUAAAGAAAUGAUUAAAAAAUCAUGAAAUGCCACAAAGAGAAAGAAUUAAUUAUUAUAGUUUCAUUGCCUCUAAGAUGCUAGAACUGGUAAAAUAUAACCUGUAUUCAGAGAUGUCAAAAAAAUACCUCUUAGAUUGAUGAAGCAUACUAAUUAUAUAUAUAUGUGUAUAUAUAUACAUGCAUAUAUAUAUAAAUUUCUAUGUUUCAAAAAACAUCUUAAAUUUAAAAAGCAUGUUUUAACAGUAUAUGUAUAUACCACAUCACAUCACAAAUUUGACCAGUUAUAAGCUAUUGACAUGCAUGUGAAUGUGUGUGCACACAAACUCACAUACCCUCUGAAGCAAAGUAUGUAACACACAACAAGAGAAAUUUUUACAGGUUAUUUUUUACCGUAAUUUAAUGGAAUUACAUGCCAAAAAUUUGUAUUUGUAUAUACAGAGAGAUAUAGAGAUAUGUACAUACGGAAAGAAUAUUAUAGAGCAUAAAACUCAUAUAGGUGAUACUCUUUUGCCACAUAAUUCCUCCAGUAAUGUGAUUAAGAUGAAAAUAAUGUGGGUGGAAGAAAACAGAGGUACAUAUGGUGAGGGUAGGUGAAUGUAAAUUGGAAAGACUAGGGGAAGUUAAAGAGACAGCUGUGAUGUGUGCAGUGUUUGAGGAAUGCAUAUAAAAACUAAUAAUGGGAAUUGAAAUAAGUAUUUCUAAAAUAUGGUUCAUGAAGUCUAAGACAAAAUGUUUUUAAAAAAAUUUAUUUAAGCUUCACAGAUUGCUCUUUGACCUCGAUCAUAGUGCAGGACUGAAUCAUGUGAGCUGUGAUUUAUAAGAACUGUUUCUAUCAAUGGGAAAAUUAGAAUCAAAGUAAGUGUUUGGGGAAUGAUUAAAUUUAUUCACUUAUUUAAAAAAUCCAUUAAACUUAUAUACAUCAAUUGUAAGACAUAACUUUAGAAACAUUAAAAUGUGAAAACUUUUGCAUUUGAAAUGGUAGGAAUGCAGUAAUGCUUGCAUGUGCAAGAGAAAUGAUUAGAAAGAUGCAAGAGAAACAUAAUAUUUACUACUUAGGGAAAAAUACAGUCAGGAGAGGGGCAUUCACUUUUAUCUCUUAAAACUCUUUCAGUAAUUUAAAAAAAUAACAUAAUGCAUUACUCAUGAAAGUAGAGCUUUGGUUAAAAAAAAACAAAAAACAAAAAAGAUCACCAGAGACAUUUGUGUUAAUGGAUAUCACUGAAGUGAUCUGUCCUUUGUCUUGGAUUCUUCACUCUUUUGAGUUCCUACUCUUCUAAGUGUUCUAUCCAAUCUCCUUCACUGGGUUCCCUUCUAUUGCCCAAUUUUACAUGUUACCCUACAUUUCAAUUUUUAGCCGUCUUCUUCCUGCACAUACCUCCCUUGGAGACAUUACCUAUCUUAAUGGCAUCAGCUCAUAUUAUAUGUUCCUCAGACUUUACCUCUCACAUGUGAAUCGUAGAUAAAUAAAACUAGAAAUAGUCUAUAACUAGUUGUCUGAUGGAUAUUUCUAAGUGGAUAUCCCAUAGUCAACAAACAACAUAUUUAAACACAACCCAUUUUAUUCAUUCUCAUUCCUUCUUUGACAAUUGCCUUACAUCUUGGGUAAUGAAUCAUGAAGUUUCAUGCCAGAAACUUCACAAUUACUUCUGACUCCUAUCCUUUUUACAAGGUCCCAAUCUAGGAAGUUAUCAGUCAACAAACAAUGUUGAAUUUACACCUACAUUGUUUCACACAGUGGCCUGCUUUCAAAGUCCUAUAGCUUGCACACAUCUCUCGUUUAGAUUAUAAUAGCUUUCUGAGUUGUCUCUUUCUAAUCUCUCUAUGUCAAUUCAUAUUAAAGUCACUUUCCUAAAACACAGUAAGCCCAUUCAGUUAAUACUCUUGUAACUUAAAAAUAUGAAAAAAACUUCCACACUAUUAAGCUCAAAACUCGUUUUUAAUAUUUCCACAAAUAUUUAAUAAAUACUUAUUAUGUGUCUGUAUAGGUGACAAAUUGGAGAAAGACUUCAAAAAACCAUUGGAACUAAAGGUAAAAACUAAAGAGAAGAGCAGUGCUUGAUGAGACCACAAAAUUGCAUAUUCUUAGCUAUUACUACAUUUCACCCAACCCUCUAAUGCCCACCCCCAUCUGUCUAUCCUUAGUCUUCUCUGCUUUCAGCCAACUCAUUCAGCUCAUAGAUGGCCUCUUGUAUUCACCUCUUCUUCUUUAAGAGAUUAAGAGAUAUAGAAUAGUAAGCAUAGCUUUAAAGGUGAUGAAAAUGGCUAAGAAUAAACUCUAUAUAACAUUUAAGAGUUUACAAAGGCUGCUUUAACAUUCACUGCACUUAACAUUAAUUAUUGACCAUUUUACUUGAGAUUUAGAGUCUAACAUAGCAUAGUUCACUGAUCACAAGCAAAAGACAGUCAACCUAAUGAAUAGGUAAGCCUAAAUCUUAUUUUCAUCAUAUCAUCCUAAAAAGUCAAAAAAUAAAAUACCUAAUUUUGCAGUUGUUAGGAAACAAAGUGUUUGACAUAACUGAUUUUCUAAGUAACUGAUAUUUAUCAUUUCAAAUGUUAAACUACAAAAAAAUUUAUUUUAUUCUAAAAUACAGGCAUAUCUCAUUUAAUCGCACUUUGCUUUAUUGUUCUUUGCAGAUAUUGUGUUUCUUUCAAAUUAAAGGUUUGUGGCAACCUUUCAUCAAGCAAGUCUAUGUCAUUUUUCCAACAGCAUUUGAUCACUUCACGUCUCUGUCUCACAUUUUGGUAAUUCUCACAAUAUUUCAAAUACUCUCAUUAUUAUUAUAUUUUUUAUUGUGAUCUGUGACCAGUGAUAUUUGAUGUUAUUUUUGCAUCGUUCUGGGGUGCCACAAACUAUGUCCAUACAAGAUGGUGACCUUAAUCAAUAGAUGUGUAUGUUCUAUCUCCACGCACCAGCUGCUCCCUCAUCUCUCUUUCUCUCUCUCCCCCCUCAGAUCUCCUUAUUUCCUGAAAUUCAACAAUAAUGACAUUAGGCCAAUUAAUAACCCUACAAUGGCCUCUAGGUGUUCAAGUGAAAAGAGUCACAUGUGCAUCACUUUCAAUCAAAAGCUGGAAGUGAUUAAGCUUAGUAAAGAAGGCAUGUCAAAAGCCAAGAUAUGCCAAAAGCUAAACCUCUUACGCCAAACAGUUAGCCAAACCAUGAAUGCAAAGGAAAAACCUUGAAGGAAAUUAAAAGUGCUACUCUAGUGAACUCACAAAUGAUAAAUAAAACAGCCUUAUUGCUGCUAUAAAGUUUUAGUGAUCUGAACAAAAGAUCAAACCAACUACCACAUUCUCUUAAGCUUAAACCACAAGAAGGCCCUAACACUCCAAUUCUACGAAGGCUAAGAGAGGUAAGGAAGCUGUAGAAGAAAAGUCUGAACGGGGCACCCGAGUGGCUCAGUGGAUGAGCAUCUGCCUUUGGCUCAGGUCAUGAUCCCGGGGUCCUGGGAAGGGGUCCAACAA
rnacentral:lncRNA from 1 species